rfam:Candidatus Doudnabacteria bacterium RIFCSPHIGHO2_01_FTLL_50_11 rifcsphigho2_01_scaffold_4122, whole genome shotgun sequence.
AAUAGAGCACAAAAGGGUAUAUGGUGGAUGCCUUGGCACAAAGAGCCGAUGAAGGACGUAGAAGCCUGCGAUAAGCCUCGGGGAGGUGGCAAACAACCUUUGAUCCGGGGAUGUCCGAAUGGGAAAACCCACUGCGGCAAACCCGCAGUGCUUUGCGAGGGGAGCCUCGUGAAGCGGGAACCACGUGAAGUGAAACAUCUCAGUAACGUGAGGAAAGGAAAUCAAGCGACGACUUUGCUUGUUGCUUUUAGUUUUUCGGGAUUCUAUCCUGGGAAGCUAAGAAGCCAACAAGUAUGGUUGUUGUAUUCCCCUAGUAGUGGCGAGCGAACGGGGAGCAGUCUAAACUUAUUAAUCUCGACUGGAUUCUGUGCUCCGCAAGGAGUAUGGGAUUUAGUUGAAGGGUAAUGGCCCGUAUGAUUAUUGGGUGUUGAAAGAAGGGUUCUAACUUCGCCAUUUAAGAAGUGGAGAAUUAAAGCUUAAAGUGUUGUGAGCUGGUUAGUCGAACGGUCCUGGAAAGGCCGGCCAAAGAGGGUGAUAGCCCCGUAGCACGAAAACUUUCACAAAUUCUCUGAACCUUCUCUUAAGUACGGCCAGACACGUGUAAUCUGGUCGGAAGCUAGGUUGACUACAAUCUAAGACUAAAUACUCUUUGCGACCGAUAGUGAACAAGUACCGUGAGGGAAAGGUGAAAAGCACCCCGGUGAGGGGGAUGAAAUAGUAUCUNNNNNNNNNNNCUUACCAAGAGUCGGAGCCUGAAGUUUGGCUGGGAGCAAUCCUAGUCAAGCCGGGUGACGGCGUGCCUAUUGAAGAAUGACCCAACGAGUUAUUGUACAUUGCUUGUCUAAGGCGAACAAAAGCCGGAGGCGUAGUGAAAGCGAGGGUUAAUAGCCCGUAUUAAGAUUUUGAUUGGCUAGGUACUUUCAUGUAUCUGGCCACUACAAUUUCUUAAAGGUAGUGUGCANNNNNNCCGAAACCCGGUGAGCUACACAUGGGCAGGAUGAACGCUGGGUAACACCAGCGGGAGGUCCGAACGCGUUAAGGUUGCAAACUUUUGCGAUGACCUGUGUGUAGGGGAGAAAUUCCAAUCGAACUGGGUGAUAGCUGGUUCUCCUCGAAAUAGCUUUAGGGCUAGCCUCAAGUGUUCCGUACGCAGGUAGAGCACUGAAUGGAUCUAUGCGUCGAAAGAUGUAGGAUCGAAUCAAACUCCGAAUUACGUACGCCAAAACUUGGGAGUUAGACCGUGGGGGCUAAGCUCCAUGUGUCUAAAGGGAAAGAACCCGGACCAUCAUCUAAGGUCCCAGAGUUAACACUAUAGUGUAAAGGAUGUAUUUGGCCUCAGACAGAUAGGAGGUUGGCUUAGAAGCAGCCACCCUUUAAAGAGUGCGUAACAGCUCACUAUCAGAGCUCCCGAUUUAUCGGGAGGGGCCGAAUGCGCCGACUAUUUAUAGGGACUAAGUGUUACACCGAAGAUAUGGAUUUGCCCCGCUUCGGCGGGGUAAGUGGUAGAGGAGCGUUCUUGCUUCGCUGAAGUCGGACUCGCGAGAGCCGGUGGAGGAGCAAGAAGUGAGAAUGUUGGGAUUAGUAAUUACUCUGCAGGUGAGAAUCCUGCACACCGAAAAUCCAAGGUUUCCUGGGCAAUGAUCGUCAGCCCAGGGUUAGUCGAUCCUAACUUCGCCAGCGAAGGCUGGCGGGGGAUGGAAAAUACGGUUGAUAUUCCGUAACCGCACAGGCGUUAUCUACGGAGUCCACAUCAGGAUAGAACAGGCAUGAUUUGACUUAUCGUGUUGUCGCACGGUGUAGGCGGGUUCUCCAGGCAAAUCCGGAGAGCCACCAACCCGUGGUGUCUACCCUGCCGCAAGGCAGGAUGACACUGCGCGGUGCCAACGUCGAGCGUGCGAAAGAAUCUCCGCAAGGGGAAAUCUGUUCGGACCAGGUGUCAAGAAAAACUUCGUAGUUACGCGUCGAUGCGAUCGUACCGCAAACCGACACAGGUGGAUGGGGAGAGAAUCCCAAGGUGCACGAGAUAAUGUUCGUUCAGGAACUCGGCAAAAAAGCGGCCGUACCUUCGGUAUAAGGCCUGCUCUCUUUAUUGAGAGCCGCAGCGAAAGACCCCUCCCGACUGUUUAUCAAAAACACAGGUCCCUGCAAAGCCGCAAGGCAAAGUAUAGGGGCUGAUGCCUGGCCAGUGUCAGAAGGUCAACGCUGUUCGCGCAAGCGGACGGCUUAAGCCCUGAUGAACGCCGGCCGUAACUAUAACGGUCCUAUGGUAGCGAAAUUCCUUGUCGGGUAAGUUCCGACCCGCACGAAUGGCAUAACGAGUAGGGGACUGUCUUAACGAACACCUCGAUGAACUUGCAAUAACGGUAAAGAUGCCGUUCCCACACAGCAAGACGGAAAGACCCUAUGAAGCUUUACUAUAGCGUGUCAUUGAAUCAAGAUAUAUUCUGCUUAGCAUAGGCGGGAGACUUUGAAGUGUACCCUCUGGGGUGCAUGGAGUCGCAAUAUGAAAUACCGCUCUGAAUAAGUUUUGUUUCUAACCCCGCGGUUACUCGCCGGGGAACAGUGGCUCGUGGGUAGUUUAACUGGGGCGGUUGCCUCCCAAAUUGUAACGGAGGCGUUUAAAGGUCGGCUAUACUCGGAUGGAAAUCGAGUAGAUAGUGCAAACGCAGAAGCCGGCUUAACUGCGAGACUGGCAGGUCGAGCAGAUGGGAAACCAGAAGUUAGUGAUCCGACGACCCUUAGUGGUAAGGGCGAAGCUCAUCGGACAAAAGUUACUCUAGGGAUAACAGGCUGAUCUUCUCCAAGCGUCCACAGCGACGAGAAGGUUUGGCACCUCGAUGUCGGCUCAUCACAUCCUGGGGGUGUAGAAGCUCCCAAGGGUUUGGCUGUUCGCCAAUUAAAGUGGUACGCGAGCUGGGUUCAAAACGUCGUGAGACAGUUUGGUCCUUAUCUGCUGUGUGUGUACGAAACUUGCGUGGGCACUUCCUUAGUACGAGAGGACCGGGAAGUAUGGAACUCUGGUGUACCCGUUGUCGCGUCAGCGGCAUGGCGGGGUAGCUAAUUUCCAGUUUGGAUAAGCGCUGAAAGCAUAUAAGCGCGAAGCCGUCCAUUAAACUAGGUUUCGUUGCCAUCCCGCAAGGGAUGCGCGAGAGAUUCGCGGAAGACUACCGCGUUAAUAGGCCACAGGUGUAAGCGCAGCAAUGCGUUCAGCCGAGUGGUACUAAUCAAUCGAAAGCACUAUUUC